rnacentral:rRNA from 1 species
AUGGCUUCCUUCUCCUGUUCCUCCUCUAGUAGUGUGAUGAGCGUGAUGGGCGUGAUCUUGCUGCUCUUCUCCGUCCUCCUUGCGGCUGCCGAAGCACCUGUGCCUGCGCGGUCGGCCAGCGACCAGAUGAUACUUGCCGCAUGCAAGACCGUCGGCGGCGGGAGCACCUACUUCGACGUCACGUUCUGCCUGGGUGCCCUCGGCUCCGCGGGCGGCGCCGGCGGCUACCAAGACCUCGCCGCCGUCGCCGUGGACCUCCUCGCGACCAACGCCACCAGCACGGAGGCCAAGAUCGACCGCCUGCUCGGUGGCAGCGGCGUGGAGGUCAAGGCGGAUGACGCCGCCCUGGCGCGGUGCCUCCGGUCGUGCCAGUCGCUGUACGGCGGCAUAGUGGACGACGGGCCUGCGUGCACCGCCGCGGUCAAUGGCGGGAGGUUCGGCGAGGCGACAGCGAUCCUGGAGAAGGCCGCGGCCGCGGCCAAGGAGUGCGAGGGCGGGUUCGAGAAGAGCAGCGCGGCUUCGCCGCUGACGGCGGAGGACGACGACGCGUUCAAGCUCGCAAAGCUCGCCGUCGCGUUGCUCCGUUUUGCUUCAGAGCCCGGAAACGGACAUUGCUGCUACUGA